rnacentral:lncRNA from 1 species
GGUAUCGCCCACUCACAGACAAGAGGACUCUAUAUGCAAAGUGAGAGCAAGAUGAGUAAGGAGGACAGCCCGAAGUCCCUCUGGGGCAAACGCAACACAAAUGGAGAAAGAGGAUCAGCUGCAAGUGAUGGAUGCAGUAAGUUUUCUGCUUGGUGUGACUCCUGUGCCAGAAGAAACCAUUGAACCCCAAGAUCAGGUUUUAACCUUAACUUGGAGAGAAUACAGCAAGGUGGGCCAAACCAGCAUGGCACAGCCCUUUGCUGAUCAAGCUGCAGGCCCACAGGCCCAGGAGAGUGUGUGUUCCUCAUGGCUGGGUAACGACAGCCUUUCAGUCAGAGACAGAUAGGAAAACAAGAAGGAUUAAAAACUGGCUCUUCUCUCUAAGAUACUCCAGACAUGGGGUGCUGUGGAGAUGGCGGUUGGAGGGUGUUGGUGUUCUGUCUAAACUCCACUCCCACAGUUACCUGGCAACAGCCAGGUAUGCUCCGCCCCACAGUUGCCUGGCAACAGCCAGGUUUGCCUGACACUGAUAUAAGGGGCUGCUUGGCCCUUCCUCCCUCUCUUGCUCUUUGCUCUCUUCUCUCCCCAUUCUCCUCCCCCUUCCCUCCACCUGCUCAUGGCUGGCCUUUAUUCUUUUCCUCUUGUACUCUUCUUCUCUCAUUAAACCUUUCCAUGUGGAACC